rnacentral:rRNA from 1 species
CCGAGUCUUAAUUGGGCGUUAAGUUGCAGGGUAUAGACCCGAAACCCGGUGAUCUAGCCAUGGGCAGGUUGAAGGUUGGGUAACACUAACUGGAGGACCGAACCGACUAAUGUUGAAAAAUUAGCGGAUGACCUGUGGCUGGGGGUGAAAGGCCAAUCAAACCGGGAGAUAGCUGGUUCUCCCCGAAAGCUAUUUAGGUAGCGCCUCGUGAACUCAUCUCCGGGGGUAGAGCACUGUUUCGGCUAGGGGGCCAUCCCGGCUUACCAACCCGAUGCAAACUGCGAAUACCGGAGAAUGUUAUCACGGGAGACACACGGCGGGUGCUAACGUCCGUCGUGAAGAGGGAAACAACCCAGACCGCCAGCUAAGGUCCCAAAGUCAUGGUUAAGUGGGAAACGAUGUGGGAAGGCCCAGACAGCCAGGAUGUUGGCUUAGAAGCAGCCAUCAUUUAAAGAAAGCGUAAUAGCUCACUGGUCGAGUCGGCCUGCGCGGAAGAUGUAACGGGGCUAAACCAUGCACCGAAGCUGCGGCAGCGACGCUGAUGCGUUGUUGGGUAGGGGAGCGUUCUGUAAGCCUGCGAAGGUGGCCUGUGAGGGUUGCUGGAGGUAUCAGAAGUGCGAAUGCUGACAUAAGUAACGAUAAAGCGGGUGAAAAGCCCGCUCGCCGGAAGACCAAGGGUUCCUGUCCAACGUUAAUCGGGGCAGGGUGAGUCGACCCCUAAGGCGAGGCCGAAAGGCGUAGUCGAUGGGAAACGGGUUAAUAUUCCCGUACUUGGUGUUACUGCGAAGGGGGGACGGAGAAGGCUAUGUUGGCCGGGCGACGGUU